UCAGUACCCCGAGGAAAGAAAUCAACGAGAUUCCCCCAGUAGCGGCGAGCGAACGGGGAGCAGCCCAGAGUCAACAUCAAUAUUUACCGCAGGAGAAGGUCUGGAAAGGCCGGCAAUAAAGGGUGAUAGCCCCGUAUCUGAAACGGUAAGUGUUGUGAACUCGAAGAGUAGGGCGGGACACGUGUUAUCCUGUCUGAAUAUGGGGGGACCAUCCUCCAAGGUAAAUACUCCUGACUGACCGAUAGUGAACCAGUACCGUGAGGGAAAGGCGAAAAGAACCCCGGGAGGGGAGUGAAAUAGAACCUAAAACCGUGUACUUACAACAGUGGGAGCCCCAAAAGGGUGUGACUGCGUACCUUUUGUAUAAUGGGUCAGCGACUUAUAUUCUGUAGCAAGGUUAACCGGAUAGGGGAGCCGUAGGGAAACCGAGUCCUAACUGGGCGUUAAGUUGCAGG
rnacentral:rRNA from 1 species